rnacentral:siRNA from 1 species
UGUACCAAUGGAAGACCUGAUA